UACGUAGGUGGCAAGCGUUGUCCGGAUUUAUUGGGUUUAAAGGGUGCGUAGGCGGUCUUCUAAGUCAGUUGUGAAAUACUUCAGCUUAACUGGAGAGGUGCAAUUGAUACUGGAAGACUUGAGUACUGAUGAGGUAGGCGGAAUGGACGGUGUAGCGGUGAAAUGCUUAGAUAUCGUCCAGAACACCGAUAGCGAAGGCAGCUUACUAAGGAGUAACUGACGCUGAGGCACGAAAGUGUGGGGGAUCAAACAGG
rnacentral:rRNA from 1 species